rnacentral:lncRNA from 1 species
UCUGAGAGACGUAAUUGGUUGCAAUGUGCAAGAUGAUCCAUUAUAUCCGUCAUGCAGAUCAAAAGUUAUGUGGAUGCAAGCAAACUGGCGAGGAGAUCCAUAUUAUAGAAGAAAUGGAGUUGAUGGUUCAGUGUGUUCAACAAUAAAAUACUUGAGUAAGGUAGAAAGAUUUUGUCCUUGUGCUGUGCCGAAUAAUUCUUUAUACCCACAUUGCCUAAAUAAAGUUAAAUAGAUGCAAGCGAACUGGCGAUCAGAUCCAUAUUAUAGAAACAAUGGAGUUGAUGGAUCUUUGUGUUCAAUACUUAACUACUUGAGUAAGGUUGAAACAUUUUGCCCGUUAUAAAAUUGAGAUAAGAGAGUGGCGUCCUUUGCAUCAUAGCUGCAUCUAAGACAACCAAAUUCUUAUUCUUUGAAUCUUGUAAACUUGAUUUUUUUUUGCUUUAUUUUCUUAAAUACGACGGAGUUAAUUUUGAGUUUUUAUUUUUAUGGAAAUAUUUUAUUUGAUUUAAAUAUUGUAUUUUUAUCUUGUCAAAAAAAAAUUUUUCUGCGUUUUA